UUGUGUACAGUGUUGUGUGACUGGUUCUCUGUUUGUGUACAGUGGUGUGUGAUUGGUUCUCUGUUUGUGUACAGUGGUGUGGGACUGGUUCUCUGUGUGUGUACAGUGUUGUGUGACUGGGUUCUCUGUUUGUGUACAGUGGUGUGAGACUGGUUCUCUUUGUGUGUACAGUGGUGUGUGACUGGUUCUCUGUUUGUGUACAGUGGUGUGUGACUGGUUCUCUGUUUGUGUACAGUGGUGUGUGACCGGUUCUCUGUUUGUGUACAGUGUGGUGUGUGACUGGUUCUCUGUUUGUGUACAGUGUGGUGUGUGACUGGUUCUCUGUUUGUGUACAGUGGUGUGUGACGGGUUCUCUGUUUGUGUACAGUGGUGUGUGACCGGGUUCUCUGUUUGUGUACAGUGGUGUGUGACGGGUUCUCUGUUUGUGUACAGUGGUGUGUGACGGGUUCUCUGUUUGUGUACAGUGGUGUGUGACUGG
ensembl:lncRNA